UGGCGUGUCGUCAGCUCGUGUCGUGAGAUGUUGGGUUAAGGUACCGUACGCGAGCGCAACCCUUGUCCUUAGUUACCAGCACGUUAUGGUGGGCACUCUAAGGAGACUGCCGGUGACAAACCGGAGGAAGGUGGGGAUGACGUCAAGUCAUCAUGGCCCUUACGGCCUGGGCUACACACGUGCUACAAUGGUCGGUACAAAGGGUUGCCAAGCCGCGAGGUGGAGCUAAUCCCAUAAAACCGAUCGUAGUCCGGAUCGCAGUCUGCAACUCGACUGCGUGAAGUCGGAAUCGCUAGUAAUCGUGAAUCAGAAUGUCACGGUGAAUACGUUCCCGGGCCUU
rnacentral:rRNA from 1 species